UGAGGAAUAUUGGGUCAAUGGGCGAGAGCCUGAACCAGCCAAGUAGCGUGCAGGAUGACGGCCCUAUGGGUUGUAAACUGCUUUUAUAAGGGAAUAAAGUGAGCCUCGUGAGGCUUUUUGCAUGUACCUUAUGAAUAAGGACCGGCUAAUUCCGUGCCAGCAGCCGCGGUAAUACGGAAGGUCCGGGCGUUAUCCGGAUUUAUUGGGUUUAAAGGGAGCGUAGGCCGGAGAUUAAGCGUGUUGUGAAAUGUAGGUGCUCAACAUCUGCACUGCAGCGCGAACUGGUUUCCUUGAGUACGCACAAAGUGGGCGGAAUUCGUGGUGUAGCGGUGAAAUGCUUAGAUAUCACGAAGAACUCCGAUUGCGAAGGCAGCUCACUGGAGCGCAACUGACGCUGAAGCUCGAAAGUGCGGGUAUCGAACAGGAUUAGAUACCCUGGUAGU
rnacentral:rRNA from 1 species